AGAAAAGCGUGUGGGAGACGUGACUCUGAUGUCUGUUUAAACGUGAGAUGCUGGGUCCCCCAUGACAGAGCCGCUGCCAUGGGAUCAAACUACCAACCCCCCCCCCCCAGCCUUUUUCUUUGGAGUAAAGGCAGAGCUACUGAUGAGCUGCUCAGUGUGGAGAUGAAGCAGUGUGGAGCAGCUGGCCUGUAGUGGCAGUACACAGCAGGAACCAAGACUGAUGUCAGUGUUGCUUGACUGGUGUGGAGAACUGGAGUCCACCUGCUGGGAUGUGACCAGGCACUUCUGCUCAGCCUGAGUUUGAGGAUGAAAUUUAAAGACAAUGUUUUACUGGAAUGUAAGAUCUGUGAUGGUUGAAUAAAAUUUGAAAAA